CUCUUAUCAAGAAAGACUGAGGGAUAGGGCCCGAUGACGUCUUAGCAACCAUGUAUAAAGCUUGGUGCUAACUCCCUCCUGGUGCAUUGCCAGGGAAGAUAAGAU
rnacentral:ncRNA from 1 species